rnacentral:lncRNA from 1 species
ACAGCAUGUUCUGUCGUUUAGAAAGAUGUGGUUGUAGUUGAUGGCCCAUUACAGUUGUUGGGAUCUUUCAAGCAUACUCAUAAUAAAGUUCCUCUUUUGUUUAAACUAAAGAAGAAAUUAUAAAGAUAAGAACAAAAAAUGAUAAAGCAGCAGGUACACAUACAUAUAUACACAUAAACAUGUUUAUGUGUAUGAAUAUAAUAAAAAAGAUUUAUAAAGCCAAAACUUAUUUAUUUGAUAAAAUAAUCAAAUUGCAGAACUUUAACAGGAGAAGAGACAAGGUGCAGAGAUAAAUAAAUGUUAGGAAUAAGAAAAGUUUCAUUGAUAUGGGUAUCUAUAAUUAAGAACAUAUAACAAACAAGUUUAUGCUAUAAUUUGAAAAUGUCAACAAAAACAUAAAUUUGUGAAAUGAUAUUUUUUAUUAAAACUGACACAGGAAAAAAAUAAAACCUGGCCCAUGAUCAUGAAAGAAAUUGAAUUUAUAGUUUAAAAUAUACUGUACAGACAUAUAGAGUAGAGAAACACAGUAAGUGCCCAAUAGUAAAGCAGGUUGCACCUACUUUUUCUGUAGUUAAGCAUCUAGAGAAAGUCUGAUUUUAUAGCACAAUUGUUGAAGAUCUUAACAGUCCUGAUUCAUAGAAGAAAAUUCUCAAUUGUAUUUUGUGUUCUGAUUCAACAAAGCAAAAGACACACACACUUCUUAAAUUGAAUUCAUAAGCUGUAUGGAGUUGCGAGGGAGAAAUAUGAGAAGCCUUGCCUGCAAUUAGUUCUUGCCAUUGAACUCUUUAAUACGAUCCCACCUUCCUGUGGCAGGGCAGAGGGAGAAUGCCCACAACCGUUACUGUACUCCUGGUGUCUAGAUCUGGCAGCCAGGAGAAAGGGAACCUCUCUCUGCCAUGCUUUUACCAUGGUGAAUCUUGGCUAGAUUGAGUCAUUUGGCAUUACCACAUGCAGGAGAGUUUGUUGGGCAGCCAUGGGAUAUAUACAAAUCAUGGACUCCUGCCUACGCACCAAGACUUCUCACUGGGGUUUCUCAUGGGAGGUCAGAGCUUCAGUCUUGGAAAAGUCUUUAUCAUUUGGCCCUCUAGACAAUGACCUCCUACUCUGAUGAUCCAUUUUUAAAAAUUUGUCCAUUUAUAUGAGUACACUGUCGCUGUUUUCAGACAUACCAGAAGAGGGCAUCAGAUCCCAUUAUAGACGGUUAUGAGCCACCACGUGGUUGCUGGGAACUGAACUCAGGACCUCUGGAAGAGCUGUCAGUGUUCCUAACCACUGAGCCAUCUCUUCAACUCUGAUGACUCUUAAAUAGCAUUUUCACCCUCCACCCCAGAACGGAACACUUACCUGUCCCUAAGACUGAAUCACUGCCUUCAUUCUUUCUUGCUUACGUUGAGCUUUGCAGCUUUUACCUGCUGUUUCUUAGCCUCUUCAUGGGGUCUGGCUAGGAUGUAAGUCUCUUUCUGUGCAUGCUUCUGGAUCCAAGCAUCAUCUAGAAUGGGAAUAAUUUUAGCUAAUUGGCUGCACCUUUUGGCCUUUGGGGGCACAUGGGAUCAUCCAAAGUCCUCCAUCCACAUAGCCUUUAACAACUUAAUAAGGCUAGCAUUUGCACUUGGGGACUCUCUCCACCACAGACCAUGACCAUUCUAUCUCGUGUAGUCUUCUACUGUCCUGUCUACAAGAUUUCACCCCCUUGUAAGCCCUCUCUCUCAGCUAUGGAGAACCUAGUACCCACCUGCCCAUAUUGGAGGAAAAUGCAUAUUCAACAGGCAUACAAGAGGAAAGAAGCAAAACAGAGUAGAGUAAAUAGAGUAUUUAUACAUAAUAUUAUAAAUGUCACAAUGACAUUAUUAGCAGCUAUCAGUCACCCCUGUGGGUGGGGGGAUGGCUUAGUUGGUAGAGUGUCUACCUAGAUAUACAAGGAAAGUUCCAUCCACAUCACUACAUAUAAACCAGCAAUAACACCUGUAAUCCCAGUACUUAGGAGGUAGGGGUGGGAGAAUUUAAGAGUUUAAGGUCAUCCUUGGCUGCAUAGCAAGUACAAGGCCUGCCUGUGCUGUACAAGACCCUAUC